UACCUUUUCAUCACUUGAAGACCAGUGGUUAUAUGAUUUGGACCCACUGAGGAAGGUAGAAUGAUAUCAGUUCAAAAGUAUUGGAUACCUGUGGAGCACUUUGCAAGAUAUUGCAGGAUUUUCUGGGCUUUCUAUAGAACUACACAGAAGUAUUGCUGAGUACUUUGCAAUAUGAAUUCCUGCAAUUUGCAGGAAUUUGUCAUGCUUUUCAGGUGAUCAUACUAGGCACCUUAAGCCACACUACGAAAGUUGACUGUUACCUUAAGACCCUGGAGACCACGGCCCUGUGAUCGUGCCAGGGAUGGAGGAGACACACUGUGCGCUGUGUGUUGUGAAGCUGAAGUGUCCACAAAAGACUGCAAAACAUUUCUACGGGGCAGUGUGAUCAUGGUGAAGACAGCAGUAAGAUCUUAUAUAACAGAAGACAGAAAAAGACAGAGAGUCACGUGGAGAUGCACACACAUAUUAGUGAGAG